CUCCAGACUCCUACGGGAGGCAGCAGUGAGGAAUAUUGGUCAAUGGGCGCGAGCCUGAACCAGCCAAGUAGCGUGAAGGAUGACUGCCCUACGGGUUGUAAACUUCUUUUAUAAAGGAAUAAAGUGAGGCACGUGUGCCUUUUUGUAUGUAUUUUAUGAAUAAGGAUCGGCUAACUCCGUGCCAGCAGACGCGGUAAUACGGAGGAUCCGAGCGUUAUCUGGAGUUAUUGGGUUUAAAGGGAGCGUAGAUGGGUUGUUAAGUCAGUUGUGAAAGGUUGCGGCUCAACCGUAAAAUUGCAAUUGAUACUGGCGGCCUUGAGUACAGUUGAGGUGGGCGGAAUUCGUGGUGUAGCGGUGAAAUGCUUAGAUAUCACGAAGAACUCCGAUUGCGAAGGCAGCAUACCGGCGCCCAACUGACGCUGAAGCACGAAAGCGUGGG
rnacentral:rRNA from 1 species